CGCGAACGCUGGCGGCAGGCUUAACACAUGCAAGUCGAACGGGCGUAGCAAUACGUCAGUGGCAGACGGGUGAGUAACGCGUGGGAACGUACCUUUUGGUUCGGAACAACCCAGGGAAACUUGGGCUAAUACCGGGAUAAGCCCUUACGGGGAAAGAUUUAUCGCCGAAAGAUCGGCCCGCGUCUGAUUAGCUUGUUGGUGAGGUAACGGCUCACCAAGGCGACGAUCAGUAGCUGGUCUGAGAGGAUGAUCAGCCACAUUGGGACUGAGACACGGCCCAAACUCCUACGGGAGGCAGCAGUGGGGAAUAUUGGACAAUGGGCGCAAGCCUGAUCCAGCCAUGCCGCGUGAGUGAUGAAGGCCCUAGGGUUGUAAAGCUCUUUUGUGCGGGAAGAUAAUGACGGUACCG
rnacentral:rRNA from 1 species